AUUCAAAUAGCUUAUGUUUAGAGUAUAAUAUUGAAGAUAUUAAGGAAAUAAAAUUAUUUUUGAAUA
rnacentral:tRNA from 1 species